ensembl:lncRNA novel transcript, sense intronic to PRICKLE1
GCUGUUAGUUUUGGGACUGAUGGAGAGUUCUGGAGCAGUGAGAGCUCAGUGUGGAAGCCCUUGGUCUGAUGGGGCUUCAGGGAACAUUUCCUGGAUCCAUCCUGAACAAAGUCUUGAAAUACAGAAUAUGGAUUUAGAAUGCGAAGUCUCUAAGUCAAGGGAAAGGUCUAGGUCGAACAGUGGUGCCCUUCAACAAGUAAUACCCUACAUCUCAGCCAAAGAAUCUAUCAGUGAAUCCAUGGAUGGAUGCAUGAGGGAUCAGACAGCCCCUGUCCCACUAUGUCUGGCUCUAUGGAAAUGUGGGACUGGUGACACCCUCCUUCUCACAGUAUUAUAAGUAAAUGCAGCAGAGAGUCCACUCUUGAAGCUUGUGACUGGGAGGAAGAAAGCAUGGAGAGGAAGUAUGCAUUCAGAUCCACAGAGGAAAAUGGUAACCUUUGAAGUCUUCCCACAAAUCCCUAAACUAGGCCUAAGGCCAGAAGAGUUCUAUAUCAGAACGUUUUGGGAAUCGUCUUCAAAACCGGAAUCCAUUUGGCCAAUAAAGAGUCUAUUUGAAUUACAAA